rnacentral:rRNA from 1 species
AGUUUGAUCCUGGCUCAGGAUGAACGCCCUUUGCGUGCUUAACACAUGCAAGUCGAACGGGCUCAUAUUGAAACCUAGUGAUUUAUGAGUUAGUGGCGGACGGGUGAGUAACGCGUGGAAAACCUGCCGUAUACUGGGGGAUAACACUUAGAAAUAGGUGCUAAUACCGCAUAAGCGCACAGCUUCGCAUGAAGUGGUGUGAAAAACUCUGGUGGUAUACGAUGGUUCCGCGUCUGAUUAGCUUGUUGGUGGGGUAAUGGCUCACCAAGGCGACGAUCAGUAGCCGGCCUGAGAGGGUGAACGGCCACAUUGGGACUGAGACACGGCCCAAACUCCUACGGGAGGCAGCAGUGGGGAAUAUUGCACAAUGGGGGAAACCCUGAUGCAGCGACGCCGCGUGAGUGAAGAAGUAUUUCGGUAUGUAAAGCUCUAUCAGCAGGGAAGAAAUAGCGACCUUUGGGUCGCCAGACGGUACCUGAUUAAGAAGCCCCGGCUAACUACGUGCCAGCAGCCGCGGUAAUACGUAGGGGGCAAGCGUUAUCCGGAUUUACUGGGUGUAAAGGGAGCGUAGACGGCAGCACAAGUCUGAAGUGAAAUGCCGGGGCUUAACCCCGGAACUGCUUUGGAAACUGUGCAGCUAGAGUGCAGGAGAGGUAAGUGGAAUUCCUAGUGUAGCGGUGAAAUGCGUAGAUAUUAGGAGGAACACCAGUGGCGAAGGCGGCUUACUGGACUGUAACUGACGUUGAGGCUCGAAAGCGUGGGGAGCAAACAAGAUUAGAUACCCUGGUAGUCCACGCUGUAAACG